UACGUAGGGUGCGAGCGUUGUUCGGAAUUACUGGGCGUAAAGGGCUCGUAGGCGGCCAACUAAGUCGGACGUGAAAUCCCCAGGCUCAACCUGGGAACUGCGUCCGAUACUGGAUGGCUUGAAUCCGGGAGAGGGAUGCAGAAUUCCAGGUGUAGCGGUGAAAUGCGCAGAUAUCAGGAGGAACACCGGUGGCGAAGGCGGGUCUCUGGGCCGAUACUGACACUGAGGAGCGAAAGCGUGGGGAGCGAACAGG
rnacentral:rRNA from 1 species